UUGUAACAUGAUUACUGCGGUUUUAGUUAGCACCCGUCUUUAAAUUCAUCAUAUUUUGAUCUUUUUAUUUUUUCAUUUUCUAACGUUGAACGACUUUUCAUUUUCACUCCUUAGGUUUCAGGAGGGUUUCUUUCGUUCCUUUCUCUCUGCUACAACUAUGGCGAAACCUGGGUAAGGUCGUGGCUCCCCCUCCGAUUCCGUUUCCGGCUCCUCCUCUGGUUCCUCUUCCCCCUCCGACUCCCGUUCCUCGUGUCGCUCGCGCUCCUUUUCUCGGUCCUGUUCUCCCUCGUGCUCCAAAUCCUCUUCCCCCUCCUGCUCCUCUUCCUCUCCAAGCUCCCGCAGCCUCAGCUGUCCCCCGUAGAGGAGCCACUGUAAGGGGGUUUUGGAGCGCCGCCAGAACCACCGCGUUCUGUGGAUCUCGGUUGCGACAGAGAGGAGGAUGCCAGGGAAGAUCGUGGCGGAGAUGAGGGACAUGGAGAGGCUGUGGAUGGUGGGGAAUGGCCCAAGAGGGAUUUGACGAUGGCGAAAGAGGAGAGAAAGAGAGAAGUGGAAGAGGAUUGAGAGGAAGAGGUAGGAGGCGAUUGAGGUGAAGAGGAAGGACCACGUGGGGAUAUUUCGGGGAUAUUAGCAUGAAGUUGUCUAAGUUUCUUGGCACAUAUGAUUUUGACAGCUUGCCUUUUGACUGGGGAGAAAAUUACAAGCUUCCAAAUAUUUCUUAGAAAGAUCUUGUUAUAUAUGAGAUGAAUGUCUGGGAAUUUACAAGUGAUGAAUCUAGUGGUUUGGAUAGCAACAUUCAUGGCAGCUACCUCGGUAUGAUUGAAAAGAUUCCACACCUUCUAGAGCUUGGUAUCAAUGCAGUAGAGUUGCUGCCUGUCUUUGAGUUUGAUGAGUUGGAUUUCCAGAGGCGUCCAAAUCCCAGAGCUUGAUAUUCCGUUCAAUUGAUUCAAAUUCUGUCAAGGGGUUUCCAAAGGAGCCAAAAGAUGCAUCUAGCAUGAAUCUUGUAUGUGGGAAGAAUGUGCUGAUUGACAUGAGCAUACAUACAGCAUAUGUAAAGGCCAUUCGUGCUGCACAACAUUACAUUUAUAUAGAGAAUCAAUAUUUCAUUGGGUCUUCAUAUAAUUGGAGUCAACAUAAAGACCUUGGUGCUAAUAAUUUAAUUCCUAUGGAAAUUGCACUGAAGAUUGCUGCAAAGAUAAGGGCAAACGAGAGACUUGCAGUGUACAUUGUCAUUCCAAUGUGGCGCCAGAGGGUGUUCCAACUGGUGCUGCCACUCAAAGAAUUCUAUUUUGGCAGCAUAAAACAAUGCAAAUGAUGUAUGAGACAAUUUACAAGGCUUUGGUUGAAGUUGGUCUCGAAGCAGCAUUCUCUCCACAAGACUAUUUGAUCUUUUUCUGUCUUGGCAAUAGGGAGGCCAUAGAUAUGUAUGAGAAUAUCACUGUCUGGAACUCCUCCGCCAGCAAAUAGUCCACAGUGCUCUUUAUCCAGGCCAGAACCAAUCGACGUUUCAUGGUUUAUGUUCGUUCAAAAGGCAUGAUAGUUGAUGAUGAAUAUGUUAUAUUGGGGUCUGCAAACAUCAACCAGCGCUCUAUGGAAGGAACAAGGGACAUCGAGAUUGCAAUGGGUGCCUACCAACCUCAUCAUACCUGGCAAGAAGGCAGUAUUAUCCUAGUGGGCAGAUCCAUGGAUAUAGGAUGUCACUUUGGGCUGAACAUACGGUGCUAUUGAAGAGUGCUUCUUACAACCAGAGAGCCUUGAAUGCAUUAGAAGGGUUAGAACAAUGGGUGAGCUGAACUGGAAUCAAUUUGCAUCAAAUGAUGUAACAGAGAUGACAAGGC